rnacentral:lncRNA from 1 species
CAUGCCUCCUAGGCUCCACCCUGCCUAGAAAGCCCCUCCCCACCACACCCCCUCAUCCUCAUCAUGCCAACUCAGCCUGCCCUCAGCAACCCCAGUCCACACGAGCCUGCCUCCAGGAAGCUUCCUGGACCUUUCUUCUGCCACCCCCCUCCACCGCAGGCAGACGAUACUCCCUCCACACCAUUUCCUCUGAGUCAACGACCAGCCCAGCGAGUGGCAUGGAGGAGCCCGGCUGAAUAACGUGAGAAGCAAAAGCCCUGACUACAGAAAACGCACUCCCCAUGGUAAUGGAUAAAUGAGCCCUGUGGGAUCUUCCUACGAGAGGCCAUUGCCACCCAGAGCCCCAGAGUCUCCAGGCUCCCAGUUCAGUCUCCACCGUGCAGCCCACAUCUUCAGGUCAGGGAAGUUUCUCUGGUUUACGGACCUCCAGCAGGAUCUCGGGCCCAGCCUCUGCUCUAAAGAUGCACAGAGGAAAAAGUGCUGGGCCAGGUCUCAAGGACCACCCAGGGCACCCGUCAACAGGUGAAGCCAAGCCGAGGAGAGGGCUGAGAAGGCACACACAAAGGCACAGGGAUGAGGAGCAGUGGAGUCUUCUGGGACUCCGAGAGCCCUGUGUGGUCAGAGCAUCAGCGGCAAGGCAGCAGGUCAGCAGAAGCAGGAUCACAUACCCAUAACCUCACUCCCUGGCUGGCUGGAAGUCGGCACGCUGGCCCCUCUGGUGAACUGAGAGCCCCCUUUUACAGCCCCUCACUGCAGGCCCCAAGGGAGCCUGAGGCUGCCAGAAAUGACUGCUAAUACUUCCAGCCACAUUUACUGAAACCUUUUGACACUGGAGGAUAUUUUUAUGAGAUAAGUGCCCUGUGUCGGUACCAACUGGCAAGUUUCAUUGCUCACAUUUCAGUCCUGCAAAAAGCCUUUUUCAAUCACUGUCCGUGGCAACGAUAAACUUUAAUGGCUGAGGGAAAGCCUGCAGCUCAGGCGCUCUGUCCUUCCUGCCUCCCUGCCCCACACCAGCCAAACUCCCUCCCUUCUCUCUGCUGGGCCAGAGGCCGAAGCACAGGGGCCAAUAGAGUUGGGAGAGACAUCAUCCACCCCCACCUCACCUCCUUUAUUUUCCAACUUUGGUAGAUCGCAGGCUCUGGAGGCAUAGGAGAAACACCAGGGAAUCAAGAGAGGCCAAAACCCAGCCCAGUACAGAAGCAGACUCUCUGGGGUGGCUCCAGGGCACCAGCGUUUUAAAAAGCUCCCCAGUGGAUUCCAUCGGGCAGGGGGCGUUGAGAACAGCUGCGCCUCCUCCUGGAAAGGUGGGUCCCUCCUCCUGGGAAGGUGGGUCCUUCCUCAGUCACAGUGCCACUUCCCUUGGCAGGCCGCUCCAUGGCUCACACAUGUUCACACAGACCCUGUCCUGCACCCAGGAGGUGCCAGGCAGACGUUCUCCUGAUGGGAGAAAACCAAAACCCAGAGCUCGUGAGGUCACAGAAAGCCAGGGACCGACAGGCUCUCAGAGCCCAGGGCCCUGCCUUCCCACCAGAGCAGGCAGAGUUUAGAACGAGCAUCUGGGUGAAGACUGGUCCUGGGCUGCCCCCACAGCAGGCACAGGUUCAUGCUCAAGGAAUGAAGAAUGAGUGAAAGAAUAAAUCCAUGAAUGAUUUUACCUACAGUAACUGAUUCAGCCAUCUCAGUGUCCUACAGGUCACCCUGCAUCUCAAGUGGACAGAGACUCACCCACCUUGCACAGUACCCGCUCUGGAAAUGAAGGCAGGAUGUGAAAUAAAGGACCAGCGAGCUAAGUCUGACUCCAAGAGCCUGGCUAUUUUUUCUCAGGCAUCCUUAGCCAACCUGCCUGUGGUUAUGCCAAAGUCCAGGGAUCUAAGGCUGAGGGUCCUGGGGACAGUCAGUCAGAACUGACAGUGGGACUUUGUCUCUCUCAGUGAGGCCCAGGCCUGCCUGGGGGCUCUCAGGGGGAGGGUCACUAGCACCCAGAACCCACAAUCAAGAGGCUGGUGGACUGUUUAAAGAAACUGUCUGAAUUGCAAUUUUUUUUUUUUGAGAUGGAGUCUCACUCUGUCGCCCAAGCCUGAGUGUAGUGGCGUGAUCUCAGCUCACUGCAACCUUCGCCUCCUGGGUUCAAGCAAUUCUUCUAAGUGCCUGCCACUGUGCCCGGCUAAUUUUUGUAUUUUUACUAGAGAUCGUGUUUCACCAUGUUGUCCAGGCUGGUCUCGAACUCCUGACCUCAAGUAAUCCACCUGCCUCAGCCUCCCAAAGUGUUGGGAUUACAGGAAUGACCCACUGCGCCCGGCCCUGAAUUGCAUUAAAAAAAGUUUAUUCCCCCAUGUUGUCUGGCCCCAAAUCCUGCCAUGGAGAACUGGCUUCAAUAAAUGCCCCCUCUGCCAUUCAUCACUUGAGUCUCACUUCCCUCUCCUGCCUCAGCUCAUACCAUUUAUUACACCCACAGUCUCCAAAUGAACAACUUCUGCAACUUACAAACAUACUUGAGAGCUCCACCUGUCCUCCCCAAUCCAUCAAGGCAACAAAAUUCAUUUCUCCUUGGGAGCCUAAAGAAGCCCAGGCUUGGGGACUAAUUAAGCAUUUCCUUUGAAAUGCAUGCAUGCUGUAGAUUGCUGAGGGUGAACUCCAACCUCUAAUAAAAUAGGAACCAGAUGCCAGGAACAGGAGGUGCACAGCAUCCUGCUAUCAUGGCCAUCACCCAGGAGGGACCCGGCGAGGGGCAGCACAGCCUCUGGAGGGCUCUGGCUAAUGUCAAAGUUCAGGUUCACAGCACCAGCUGGAAUUUUUAUUUUGGCCAUCAUCUACAACAAGGAAUGAGUGCCUCCUGACACCCCCAUGAGCACACCAUACCUCCAGCCUUCAUUCCCCCUUCCCUCCUUAUUUUGCACACUCUGGGGAAUCUGGCUGGAGCUCUAAUUCUCCUGCAAAGCCUUCCUGAAAUACUCAAACCUUGAAGGGACUGUUUCCCCUCCCACUACACCCGAUGAGUACUGCAAAGAUACAGCCCUUGGCCACAGAGUGUCAAUUAUUAUAAUAUUAACCACCA